AACGCGCUCUUACGUGCCAGAAUUUGAAAAAAAACUCCCCAAUAAAUUUCGCCAUGUGUAGUCGCCUCGCCGGAGAGACUCCCUCCUCGAAUCGCCCUAAGUAUCGCCUCUCUUCGCCGCAAAGUAUAUCCCCUGGCCGGGGGUGGGCUUCCACUUUAAUGAUUCCAAAGCCUUCGCUUUUGUGCUUCACUCGGUUUCUGAUUGCGCCUUGAAGCUGUUUGAUGUUUUGCUUAGAUGAUCGACUGUGAAAUUUGAGGCCGACACGAUCUUCAUUCAAUCAAUAAGGGAGGUGCGAAGAGAUGGAGAAUUCAUCAAGCACGCACAGACCUCCACAGGGCUGCGUUAGAAGCUGAAUGUCUUGAUGCCUAUAACUGCUGCUCGCAGUGUUGCAGUGAUGAUCAAAAGUGAACUUAUUCAAAACACAAUAUGCUCGGAAUCACUGGGGAGAAUUAGGGAAUAGAGGGAAAAAUAUCACGUUAACCUGGAAGCAGAGACACUUGAGGGUGUUGAUAGCUUGCUGUCGAACAGCCCAACCUCGAAUAAGAGCUUGAAGCUUGACGACUCCUUUCAGUGCUCGUAGUGCUUUCCUAGCCUGGAGUGAUAAUGACAUUGAUAAUAAGAUUCGGGAUGAGCUGUUUCCCCAUUCUGCUGAAGCUCAGGAGUGUCUGUUGCUGUGAGUUGCCAUGGUAGCCUUUCCCGCGGAGACGAUGGCACGAGUUCUUUCACUUUAAGCAAUCGGCACACCCAUCUCCUUCGCUUAUCCUUUUCGCAGCGCACGAGAGAUCGAAGCAGUUCAGGUAAAUCUUCUACACAGUAAAAUAUGAAUUUGAAAAGUAUAACGUUGUGUACCUUUUCCCUUCUUGGUUGUGGCUCUGAAAUGAAAAACCUCUUAAUUAGACUGAACCAGGUCUUCUUCUUCUUUGCCAUCAAGUACCACUGCUCAAAAUGAGUGUGGAGAUUAAAAAAGAGUUAGACUAACUAAGAAUAGCAAAUGGACAUCUGAUCUGUGUGCAUAAUAGUAUGUGCUUCCUCAAUAUGGACAACAAGAAAAUAGUCCUCAUAAAUGCAUGUGCUAUUGUAUAAUUUCUUGACAAACUCGCUUUUGUAUCAUGUCCAUUGUAGUUGCUCCUUUUUAUCUUCUAUCAAUUAUUCAUCUUUUUCUAUGAUGUGUUUCACGUGCUGGGCACGUGGGCCUUGCACCAUAAAGUGAGUUAGGGUCAGCUUGGUCUAUUCUCCUUGUUUGCCAACUUAGUUUAAUGUGAAUUCUUGUAUGCUGUGUUCACUUGAAUUAGUGUAAUCACUUGAAUCAUGCAUGGGUCUUUCGGCCUUUCCCCUUUGGAGUUUAAAAAUCUAGAUUCACCUUUUAUAUUUAUUUCAACCCUUUAAGAAUUGCGCGGAGUUAGUUGUAGGUGGUCGGAUAUGAUGUUCGUUCAUGAUAGUACGAGGUUCUUUAGAUUCGAGUCCUUGCUAAUAAGGAUGAUAUGCUAGAAUAGAAGGUGUAACACAAUUUGAGUCUUGAACCGGAGGCCUAAUUUUUGCCACAAUAGAUGAGAGACCGAAAAAUGAAGAAUAUGAAAUCCAAGUAAAAAUUACAUUAUUGGAGGUGGGGAAAUCCUUACUAUGCAAUGAAUGGGGUAAAGAGAGCAAGCAAGUCUUUGAAGGAGAGAGACAGCUGUUGAGGGCCCUGUUUCUGCUUAUCACAUUCAUAUGCAAUAUUCAACAUUAGUUAGCUAGAUUAAUAAUUAUUAAAGUGGAUCAAAUUUUCUUUGUUUCGGAAAUGAUUCAGUCUUCACAUGUAAUGUUGCAAUGCAGUAAGGAUGAUUUCCAUAUUGGAUACCCAAGUUUUAUUCA